rnacentral:rRNA from 1 species
CCUACGGGGUGCAGCAGUGAGGAAUAUUGGUCAAUGGGCGGGAGCCUGAACCAGCCAAGUCGCGUGAGGGAAGACGGUCCUAUGGAUUGUAAACCUCUUUAGGCGGGGAGCAAUGCCGGGCACGCGUGCCCGGAGGGAGAGUACCCGCAGAAUAAGCAUCGGCUAACUCCGUGCCAGCAGCCGCGGUAAUACGGGGGAUGCGAGCGUUCUCCGGAUUUAUUGGGCGUAAAGCGCUCGUAGGCGGUAUGUCCAGUCAAGGGGGAAAACCACGCGCUCAACGUGGGAACUGCCUUUGAAACUGGCAAACUGGAGUGUGUGAGAGGAUAGUGGAAUUCCAGGUGUAGGAGUGAAAUCCGUAGAUAUCUGGAGGAACAUCAGUGGCGGAGGCGACUAGCUGGCACAUAACUGACGCUGAGGAGCGAAAGCGUGGGUAGCAAACAGGAUUAGAUACCCGAGUAGUC